rnacentral:rRNA from 1 species
UCGAGCGCGCCUUCGGGUGAGCGGCGGACGGGUGAGUAACGCGUGGGAACGUACCCUUCGGUUGAGGAUAGCCCCUGGAAACGGGGAGUAAUACUCGAUACGCCCUAUUGGGGAACGAAGGAUCGGCCCGCGUCUGAUUAGGUAGUUGGUGGGGUAACGGCCUACCAAGCCUACGAUCAGUAGCUGGUUUUAGAGGAUGAUCAGCCACACUGGGACUGAGACACGGCCCAGACUCCUACGGGAGGCAGCAGUGGGGAAUCUUAGACAAUGGGGGAAACCCUGAUCUAGCCAUGCCGCGUGUGUGAUGAAGGCCCUAGGGUCGUAAAGCACUUUCGCCAGGGAUGAUAAUGACAGUACCUGGUAAAGAAACCCCGGCUAACUCCGUGCCAGCAGCCGCGGUAAUACGGAGGGGGUUAGCGUUGUUCGGAAUUACUGGGCGUAAAGCGCACGUAGGCGGAUCGGAAAGUUGGGGGUGGAAUCCCGGGGCUCAACCCCGGAACUGCCUCCAAAACUCCCGGUCUUGAGUUCGAGAGAGGUGAGUGGAAUUCCGAGUGUAGAGGUGAAAUUCGUAGAUAUUCGGAGGAACACCAGUGGCGAAGGCGGCUCACUGGCUCGAUACUGACGCUGAGGUGCGAAAGUGUGGGGAGCAAACAGGAUUAGAUACCCUGGUAGUCCACACCGUAAACGAUGAAUGCCA